UGGGGUGUAGGCAAGCGGUAAGCCAACAGAUUUUGGUUCUGUCAUUCGCAGGUUCGAAUCCUGCCACCCCAUCCA
rnacentral:tRNA from 3 species